AUGAGAAAGAUGAAACGUCGUUGUAUUGAUGGUAACGGUAGAAUGCGGGGAGAGAGUGGCAGAGCGGAGAGUGAGAAGGUUGCUCAGGUCAAGAACCAUGAUGCUUUAACAGUGCGUAAACAAUUACUCAUUUGGUUAUUGUAUUCUCAUUUAGAAAAGUGCAUGGGGAAGGGUAGGAAGGCUCGUUUGAAGGUGACAAGGAGCAGCUCCGGGUCAGGUUCACAGAACCGGUAUUCACGAGGCAGUAGCGUGAAUCGGUUGGCAAAUGGAAACCCUAGUUUUGCAGGCAACGAGCACUCAAUCGGGUCAUCUCAACCAUGA